rnacentral:rRNA from 1 species
AUUGAACGCUGGCGGCAUGCUUUACACAUGCAAGUCGAACGGCAGCGGGGUAGUGCUUGCACUACUGCCGGCGAGUGGCGAACGGGUGAGUAAUAUAUCGGAACGUACCGAGUAAUGGGGGAUAACCAAUCGAAAGAUUGGCUAAUACCGCAUACGUCCUGAGGGAGAAAGCGGGGGAUCGCAAGACCUCGCGUUAUUCUAGCGGCCGAUAACUGAUUAGCUAGUUGGUGGGGUAAAGGCCUACCAAGGCGACGAUCAGUAGCGGGUCUGAGAGGACGAUCAGCCACACUGGGACUGAGACACGGACCAGACUCCUACGGGAGGCAGCAGUGGGGAAUUUUGGACAAUGGGGGCAACCCUGAUCCAGCCAUGCCGCGUGUAUGAAGAAGGCCUUCGGGUUGUAAAGUACUUUUGUUAGGGAAGAAAAGGGAAGUGCUAAUACCACUUUUUGCUGACGGUACCUAAAGAAUAAGCACCGGCUAACUACGUG